rnacentral:rRNA from 1 species
UACGAAGGGGGCUAGCGUUGUUCGGAUUUAUUGGGCGUAAAGCGCGCGCAGGCGGUCCUUUAAGUCUGAUGUGAAAGCCCACGGCUCAACCGUGGAGGGUCAUUGGAAACUGGGGGACUUGAGUGCAGAAGAGGAAAGCGGAAUUCCACGUGUAGCGGUGAAAUGCGUAGAGAUGUGGAGGAACACCAGUGGCGAAGGCGGCUUUCUGGUCUGUAACUGACGCUGAGGCGCGAAAGCGUGGGGAGCAAACAGG